UGUAAUCGAAAUCGAUCGAUGUUUGAAUGAUAAUAAACCAUGCUAAUUAGCUAGCCGGAUGCUAGACGGCAAAAUAAGCAAUAAUAUACAAAACCAGUACAUCUGUGUCGCCGGAUGUAGUCCGAACACUGUAUAUCAUUUUUCUUCCCGUUUAUUCAAUCUCCAUGCCGUUAUGCCAAAAUCAGUCAAUAGUAAGUGGGAAGUUGGAAGACGGCUAAUAAGCUAGAUAACUGAAAGAGUUGAGCCGGGAGCUCUGUGUAGACGGAUGAAAUCAAGAGAGGAAAGAGAGCUAAGCCAGUAUGUAUGUGUAUGAGAAUUGUGUCUCUGUGUGCGCCCGCGUACGCCCUUUCAACACGAAUACAAAAGACUGAAUAGGAGGAAUGGAGCGGUGGAUUGAAAAGAAACAAUGCGCUGUAAUGAUUGGGGGAGACUCGACGACGACGACACAG
ensembl:ncRNA K08A8.23 ncRNA